rnacentral:rRNA from 1 species
UACGUAGGGGGCAAGCGUUGUCCGGAAUCAUUGGGCGUAAAGCGCGUGUAGGCGGUCCGGUAAGUCCGCUGUGAAAGUCGGGGGGCUCAACCCUCGGAUGCCGAUCGAUACUGUCGGGCUAGAGUCCGGAAGAGGCGAGUGGAAUUCCUGGUGUAGCGGUGAAAUGCGCAGAUAUCAGGAGGAACACCAGCGGCGAAGGCGGCGCUCUGGGCUGGAACUGACGCUGAGGAGCGAAAGCGUGGGGAGCGAACAGG